UACAGAGGUGCCAAGCGUUAGGCGGAAUCACUGGGCUUAAAGCGCGUGUAGGCGGGUCGUUAAGUGUCCGAGUGAAAUCCCACGGCUCAACCGUGGAACUGCCGGGCAUACUGGCGAUCUUGAGGCAUUCAGGGGCGAGCGGAACAAAUGGUGGAGCGGUGAAAUGCGUAGAUAUCAUUUGGAACGCCAAUGGUGAAAAACAGCUCGCUGGGAAUGAUCUGACGCUGAGACGCGAAAGCCAGGGGAGCGAACGGG
rnacentral:rRNA from 1 species